rnacentral:rRNA from 1 species
AACGAACGCUGGCGGCAGGCUUAACACAUGCAAGUCGAACGCCCCGCAAGGGGAGUGGCAGACGGGUGAGUAACGCGUGGGAACGUACCCUUUACUACGGAAUAGCUCCGGGAAACUGGAAUUAAUACCGUAUGUGCCCUACGGGGGAAAGAUUUAUCGGUAAAGGAUCGGCCCGCGUUGGAUUAGCUAGUUGGUGGGGUAAAGGCCUACCAAGGCGACGAUCCAUAGCUGGUCUGGGAGGAUGAUCAGCCACAUUGGGACUGAGACACGGCCCAAACUCCUACGGGAGGCAGCAGUGGGGAAUAUUGGACAAUGGGCGCAAGCCUGAUCCAGCCAUGCCGCGUGAGUGAUGAAGGUCUUAGGAUUGUAAAGCUCUUUCACCGGGGAAGAUAAUGACGGUACCCGGAGAAGAAGCCCCGGCUAACUUCGUGCCAGCCGCCGCCGUAAGAC